AGAUUGAACGCUGGCGGCAGGCCUAACACAUGCAAGUCGAGCGGCAGCACGGGUACUUGUACCUGGUGGCGAGCGGCGGACGGGUGAGUAAUGCCUAGGAAUCUGCCUGGUAGUGGGGGAUAACGCUCGGAAACGGACGCUAAUACCGCAUACGUCCUACGGGAGAAAGCAGGGGACCUUCGGGCCUUGCGCUAUCAGAUGAGCCUAGGUCGGAUUAGCUAGUUGGUGAGGUAAUGGCUCACCAAGGCGACGAUCCGUAACUGGUCUGAGAGGAUGAUCAGUCACACUGGAACUGAGACACGGUCCAGACUCCUACGGGAGGCAGCAGUGGGAAUAUUGGACAAUGGGCGAAAGCCUGAUCCAGCCAUGCCGCGUGUGUGAAGAAGGUCUUCGGAUUGUAAAGCAACUUUAAGUUGAGAGGAAGGCAGUUACCUAAUACGUAUCUGUUUGACGUUACCGACAGAAUAAGCAACCGGCUAACUCUGUG
rnacentral:rRNA from 1 species